rnacentral:lncRNA from 1 species
GUUGUUGCAACCGAAUUGACUUAGCAUUUACUGCGUUUUAAAACUCAAAUCCAUUUGGUAAGGGGGCCUAAUCAUCUAAGAAAAACAGUCAUGUGAAGAAACAGGAUGCUGCAUCUGAUUGAUUUAUAAAAGCAUCAGGUUACUGAAGUUUUAGCCAGCUCAUAGGAAAAAUACUUUCCCAUUUACUCCCCAUUUCCUUCACGUCAGGAUAAACUCAUUCCCACACUACAAAAUAUGCCUUCAAAAUCCCAUACCCUGCAUGAGACCAAAUUCUUUGGCUUUUGGAGGGCUUUCUCCACAGCCUGAAAUUGAUUCCUGACAGCAGUUCCUUUGUGGCUUUGCUCAAACAAACUCGGAAUCUUUUGGCUCAUGGCACCAGCAGUAAUUGAAAGAAGAUACCACCACUGUUUUGUACAUUCAUGGAGCUGCUCAGGAGAAAUGUGCUUUCUUUCCUGAUCAAGGCUUUACUGCACUGCAAUUGUCUUUGGUCCCAUAGAGGAUUUAAUUUGUUUUUGCAAGAGGCCUGGAGACACUGGCACCUGAAGAUGACCCUAAUCCAGUGUGAAUAACCGAGGUGAUUCCCAGCUGAGCUACAGUAUCUGGUAAGGCCCACUGACUUAUAGUUCACUAUCUGGGAGCAGCUCUUCAGGGUACCAAUCAAAAGUGAGGCCCAGAUUUGCCAGUCAUCUUUCCUCUUGGUGAGUCUUGGAUCCUCUGUCCCCUUGAGGCUGCCCAAAUUGCAGCUCAGCCUCUCAGCUGUUUCCUCUGACACCAGCAAACAACUCCUGAGAUAAAGACUCCUUAAUCCACAGCCACCUGCCUGGCUUCACUUCUCCACUCACCCUGGCCCAGUGCUUCACUGAGUUAUUGGCUCUUCCAUGGUAUCUAACAGAUAUUUUGCCAUAUUUUCUAGCUGCUUUUAGUGGAAGUGUUUGUCCAAAUUACUUACCCAUUUAUUUCACAUAAGCAAGGUCAUCUUUUAAACAAAGCCCAUGAACCAAUAAAACACAACAUAAAAUGAAUUGUAAUUGGUUAGUACACAUUCGAAAGAUACCAGCUUCCUAUUAAAAAAAAAUCCAAUUUCAUAUGAGAUGAUUUCAAUGUUAAAGUAACGAAUAUUAAAGAAAUGAGGAUAAUGGAUGGAGCUCAUUAUCUCAGCUACUGCUAGUGAGAGUAAAACAGAAACUUAUCUAAAGGGAAUUUUGACAAUAUUAACAAGAAUGGUACUAUUUUUCAUACUUACUGACAGUGCAAUUCCACUGCUG